rnacentral:tRNA from 1 species
UCCCUCAUAGCUCAGUUGGUAAAUCAUCUGCCUGCAAUGCAGGAGACCUGGGUUCGAUUCCUGGGUCAGGGAG